UUAUGAGCUGUGUCAGGAAGUGCAGAAGUUGGAGACAUGGAAACCAGACAACUGCAAUACUGCAAGUAAGAGGAGGCGGAGCGGUAAUGAGAGCGACGAGGAGCUGCUGCGAAUACAGAUGAAGCUUUGCUCGCCCGCCCGCCCGCUGCUUACCUACUGCUGCGCAGCCUGGUUCCCAACAGGUACAGAAACUAAGACCCACCCCGCCCACGUGGAGGAUGGUGACUACAUGCUGAUCACAAGCAUGCAGACUCCAGACUGGUUGGAACCAGAAGGUUGAUGA